CAGGGAGGAGCUGCGGGAUGGGGGUGGUCUGAACGUUGUCCUCUGGUGUACAGGCCCUACUUCCACAUUCCGGAGGGAAAUUAAGAAAGUCACGGUGUAUUCUUUACCACUAGCGCCACCUGGGAAGUCAUGAGACUGUAUGCUAGGUAGUAUAAAGCCUUAGUGAUUAAAGCCGUGUGAUAUUGGCUGAAAGAUAAAUUAAAAAAUAAAUGGGAAAGAAGAGAGGCCAGAAACAGACUCGGGGGUAUGUAGUCACGUGUUUUCUCACAAAGGAGUCACAGUAAUGCAAUAGGAAAGUUCUUAGCAAGAAAAAGAGCUUGAUCUGUUGAAUGUGGUUGUCAGGGUUGGGGGAUGAACCCCUACUUCAUGCAAGAAAAUAAGUCCAAAAUGCGUUGUGUCAUGGUCUGUGCAAGGGUUGGAAAAUAAUUUCCAGACAUGAGGCAGAAUCAGAGGAGAAUAGAGUUUCUUAGAGCAGGAGACGUGUUAGAACAGUGGGCCAACAUCCCGAUAGAUCCGGGAGAGAAGACCCUUUUCAUGGGUUAGCAGUGCUUAGUCGUGUCCACCUCUAGGGGACCCCAAGGACUGUAGCCCACCAGGCUUUUCUGUCCACGGAAUUUUCCAGGCAAGAAUACCUAAGUGGGGUGCCCUUUCCUCCUCCAAGAUAUCUUCCCAACCCAGGGAUUGAACCUGCACCUCCUGCGUCUCCUGCAUUGGCUGGCGGAUUCUUUACCACUGAGCUUGGGAAGCCCUUUUCAUGGGUUUGUAGCCAAUUUUUAUAGACUCAAGAGAAAAAUUCCUGCUGGAAGAGUGGCAUUAGGUGAUUGGUUAAGGCUCUAUAGGGUGAGUAGCUGGGUGGGUAUUUUUACCUAAUAUGGGGUCAGGGAGGUGGCCAGUAAAGCCUAGGAGGGUUCUCGGCAACAGUUACAGUGGGACUUAGUCAGUUCCGGAGAUGACCUUGCUGUGGAGCUCUGCAUCUGUGGCCUUGGUACAAGACCUCACACCUGGUACAGGGCACCACAGAUUGUAG
ensembl:lncRNA